rnacentral:rRNA from 2 species
AGACCCGAAACCCGGUGAUCUAGCCAUGGGCAGGUUGAAGGUUGGGUAACACUAACUGGAGGACCGAACCGACUAAUGUUGAAAAAUUAGCGGAUGACCUGUGGCUGGGGGUGAAAGGCCAAUCAAACCGGGAGAUAGCUGGUUCUCCCCGAAAGCUAUUUAGGUAGCGCCUCGUGAAUUCAUCUCCGGGGGUAGAGCACUGUUUCGGCUAGGGGGCCAUCCCGGCUUACCAACCCGAUGCAAACUGCGAAUACCGGAGAAUGUUAUCACGGGAGACACACGGCGGGUGCUAACGUCCGUCGUGAAGAGGGAAACAACCCAGACCGCCAGCUAAGGUCCCAAAGUCAUGGUUAAGUGGGAAACGAUGUGGGAAGGCCCAGACAGCCAGGAUGUUGGCUUAGAAGCAGCCAUCAUUUAAAGAAAGCGUAAUAGCUCACUGGUCGAGUCGGCCUGCGCGGAAGAUGUAACGGGGCUAAACCAUGCACCGAAGCUGCGGCAGCGACACUGUGUGUUGUUGGGUAGGGGAGCGUUCUGUAAGCCUGUGAAGGUGUGUCGUGAGGCAUGCUGGAGGUAUCAGAAGUGCGAAUGCUGACAUAAGUAACGAUAAAGCGGGUGAAAAGCCCGCUCGCCGGAAGACCAAGGGUUCCUGUCCAACGUUAAUCGGGGCAGGGUGAGUCGACCCCUAAGGCGAGGCCGAAAGGCGUAGUCGAUGGGAAACGGGUUAAUAUUCCCGUACUUGGUGUUACUGCGAAGGGGGGACGGAGAAGGCUAUGUUGGCCGGGCGACGGUUGUCCCGGUUUAAGCGUGUAGGUGUGUGUUCCAGGUAAAUCCGGUUCACUUUAACACUGAGGCGUGACGACGAGGCACUACGGUGCUGAAGCAACAAAUGCCCUGCUUCCAGGAAAAGCCUCUAAGCAUCAGGUAACAUCAAAUCGUACCCCAAACCGACACAGGUGGUCAGGUAGAGAAUACCAAGGCGCUUGAGAGAACUCGGGUGAAGGAACUAGGCAAAAUGGUGCCGUAACUUCGGGAGAAGGCACGCUGACACGUAGGUGAAGUGAUUUACUCAUGGAGCUGAAGUCAGUCGAAGAUACCAGCUGGCUGCAACUGUUUAUUAAAAACACAGCACUGUGCAAACACGAAAGUGGACGUAUACGGUGUGACGCCUGCCCGGUGCCGGAAGGUUAAUUGAUGGGGUCAGCGCAAGCGAAGCUCCUGAUCGAAGCCCCGGUAAACGGCGGCCGUAACUAUAACGGUCCUAAGGUAGCGAAAUUCCUUGUCGGGUAAGUUCCGACCUGCACGAAUGGCGUAAUGAUGGCCAGGCUGUCUCCACCCGAGACUCAGUGAAAUUGAACUCGCUGUGAAGAUGCAGUGUACCCGCGGCAAGACGGAAAGACCCCGUGAACCUUUACUAUAGCUUGACACUGAACAUUGAGCCUUGAUGUGUAGGAUAGGUGGGAGGCUUUGAAGUGUGGACGCCAGUCUGCAUGGAGCCGACCUUGAAAUACCACCCUUUAAUGUUUGAUGUUCUAACGUGGACCCGUUACCCGGGUUGCGGACAGUGUCUGGUGGGUAGUUUGACUGGGGCGGUCUCCUCCUAAAGAGUAACGGAGGAGCACGAAGGUUGGCUAAUCCUGGUCGGACAUCAGGAGGUUAGUGCAAUGGCAUAAGCCAGCUUGACUGCGAGCGUGACGGCGCGAGCAGGUGCGAAAGCAGGUCAUAGUGAUCCGGUGGUUCUGAAUGGAAGGGCCAUCGCUCAACGGAUAAAAGGUACUCCGGGGAUAACAGGCUGAUACCGCCCAAGAGUUCAUAUCGACGGCGGUGUUUGGCACCUCGAUGUCGGCUCAUCACAUCCUGGGGCUGAAGUAGGUCCCAAGGGUAUGGCUGUUCGCCAUUUAAAGUGGUACGCGAGCUGGGUUUAGAACGUCGUGAGACAGUUCGGUCCCUAUCUGCCGUGGGCGCUGGAGAACUGAGGGGGGCUGCUCCUAGUACGAGAGGACCGGAGUGGACGCAUCACUGGUGUUCGGGUUGUCAUGCCAAUGGCACUGCCCGGUAGCUAAAUGCGGAAGAGAUAAGUGCUGAAAGCAUCUAAGCACGAAACUUGCCCCGAGAUGAGUUCUCCCUGAGACUUAAAGUCUCCUGAAGGAACGUUGAAGAC